rnacentral:lncRNA from 10 species
UGCCUGUGUGCGUGUGUGUGUGUGCAUGUGUGCAUACAUGUGUAUGUGUGUAUCUCUCGUCACAGCAUCUAAAUAGGCAAAAGACAGAUGGAGGGAUGACUUCAUGCAAAAGCAACAUUUGAAAAAUCUCCUCAGAGGUGCUUAACCCAAGGCCCAGGUGCCAGGCAAGGCCUGUAAAACUGUGGUGGACACAGUGCACCUGGGUCUUGACAGUGCUGAUCAGGGCCCUGGAGCUGGCCUUCCCCACCUCCCAUUGAGUGCUGAGGGUGGGCGGCACCACU